rnacentral:misc_RNA from 1 species
UACAGAGGGUCCAAGCGUUAAUCGGAAUCACUGGGCUUAAAGGGUCCGCAGGCGGAUGUUCAAGUGCGGUGUGAAAUCCCACGGCUUAACCGUGGAAUUGCACUGCAUACUGUUCAUCUUGAGCCCGGCAGGGGUCGUCGGAACGAUAGGUGGAGCGGUGAAAUGCGUAGAUAUCUAUCGGAACGCCAAUGGUGAAGACAGACGACUGGGCCGGCGCUGACGCUCAGGGACGAAAGCAUGGGUAGCGAACGGG